UGGGGUGUGGCUCAGUGGUAGAGCAUUUGCCUAGCAUGCCCAAGGCCCUGGUUUCAAUCCCCAGCACCACAA
rnacentral:tRNA from 1 species